CUGCUGAGUCUGAGUCUCCCAUCUGCACUCAGCACCCGUAAGCACGAUUUCUCCAUUGACGCCACCUGUCGUUACUCAGCCCGACCACCAUCAUCUGGAGCUGGAUCUCUUCAGCCUGCCGGGGCCACUCUCCUCCCGGGGCUCCACCCUGCUGCUUGUCAGCGCAAACCCCAACUCCUGAACGUGGGCCCCAGGGCAGGACCAGGUGCUGUUUUUUUUUUUGUUUGUUUUUUUGUUUGUUUUGAGCUACCAGGGAUUGAACCUGGGACCUCGGACCUAGGAGGCAGGUGCACAACCACUGAGCUACGCCACCUCCGCAGACCGGGUGGACUGAGGAACGAAAUUCAGAGACAGGCAGGCUCCUGUCAAGAUCAGUGCCCUCCCCUGGACAUCUCCGGAGGCCGUGUGCUCCGUGGGGCACACGCACUGCAGAUGGCGGGACCACACAGGGCCACGUGCAGGGUAGUGCUGGGCCUCGGCGGGCCACCGCCAAGCUUCUCUGUGCCCUUCGGAUUGUACGUCCCCUGCAGCCUGACCCAAGGCGUCCGCUUUUGUACAGACCGGGUAAAUGGACGUCAGACAGGGCCAUGGAAACUCUUCACAAUUUCGCUCCAAGUGGCCUCCCUGGUCUUAACUCUCACCAACCCAACCACGGAAAUCUGUCUGCAAAUUCAGCUUGUCCCGUCCCCGUUCUGUUCCCCGGCCUGUGCUGUACCCUCUGCCUGCAAUGCGUCCUCCCUUAAUCUCUAAGUGUCAAAACUCUCACCCGUCUUUCCGUGAAAUGCUCUCUAUUCAUGAAGCUGUUGGUU
rnacentral:lncRNA from 1 species